rnacentral:rRNA from 1 species
CCUACGGGAGGCAGCAGUGGGGAAUAUUGCACAAUGGGCGAAAGCCUGAUGCAGCGACGCCGCGUGAGGGAUGACGGCCUUCGGGUUGUAAACCUCUUUCAGUAGGGAAGAAGCGCAAGUGACGGUACCUGCAGAAGAAGCGCCGGCUAACUACGUGCCAGCAGCCGCGGUAAUACGUAGGGCGCAAGCGUUGUCCGGAAUUAUUGGGCGUAAAGAGCUCGUAGGCGGUUUGUCGCGUCUGCUGUGAAAGCCCGGGGCUCAACCCCGGGUCUGCAGUGGGUACGGGCAGACUAGAGUGCAGUAGGGGAGACUGGAAUUCCUGGUGUAGCGGUGAAAUGCGCAGAUAUCAGGAGGAACACCGAUGGCGAAGGCAGGUCUCUGGGCUGUUACUGACGCUGAGGAGCGAAAGCAUGGGGAGCGAACAGGAUUAGAUACCCUGGUAGUCCAUGCCGUAAACGUUGGGCACUAGGUGUGGGGGACAUUCCACGUUUUCCGCGCCGUAGCUAACGCAUUAAGUGCCCCGCCUGGGGAGUACGGCCGCAAGGCUAAAACUCAAAGGAAUUGACGGGGGCCCGCACAAGCGGCGGAGCAUGCGGAUUAAUUCGAUGCAACGCGAAGAACCUUACCAAGGCUUGACAUUCACCGGACCGCCUCAGAGAUGGGGUUUCCCUUCGGGGCUGGUGGACAGGUGGUGCAUGGUUGUCGUCAGCUCGUGUCGUGAGAUGUUGGGUUAAGUCCCGCAACGAGCGCAACCCUCGUUCUAUGUUGCCAGCACGUGAUGGUGGGGACUCAUAGGAGACUACCGGGGUCAACUCGGAGGAGGUGGGGAUGACGUCAAAUCAUCAUGCCCCUUAUGUCUUGGGCUUCACGCAUGCUACAAUGGCCGGUACAAAGGGUUGCGAAACUGUGAGUGGUGCUAAUCCAAAAAGCCGGUCUCAGUUCGGAUUGAGGUCUGCAACUCGACCUCAUGAGUCGGAGUCGCUAGUAUCGCAGAUCAGCACGCCGCGUGAUACGUUCCCGGG